CUGCACGAUGCUACCCCGGGCUUCUCUGAAGCUCAUAGUGAAGAUGAAAGCCCCAAAGCUUGUGCUAGAACGCCGCCGUUAAGUGUUGCAGUUUAGCCCCUUCACCCACGGCUGAUCUGUGUCAAAUCAACGGCAACAUGC